ACAAAAAGAAACAGAAGGAGAAACAAAGAAAUCAAGAAUGAGGUUGAAAAAAAUGAAAAGGUGGAGAGUCGGUAGUAGAGGUAGCGCAAUGGUUAGUUUACGAUCUGCUUUCAUCCCAUUCAGCAUGUACUUUCUCCUUCUCGUUCUUCUGCCUCCU
rnacentral:ribozyme from 11 species